AGUAAUGCCUAGGAAUCUGCCUGGUAGUGGGGGAUAACGUUCGGAAACGGACGCUAAUACCGCAUACGUCCUACGGGAGAAAGCAGGGGACCUUCGGGCCUUGCGCUAUCAGAUGAGCCUAGGUCGGAUUAGCUAGUUGGUGAGGUAAUGGCUCACCAAGGCGACGAUCCGUAACUGGUCUGAGAGGAUGAUCAGUCACACUGGAACUGAGACACGGUCCAG
rnacentral:rRNA from 1 species